GGCUCAUCUAAGAGUUGGCAUGUAGUUGAGAGGUUGCCAUAUCGACUUAAAUAACGAGCUAUCCACAGCCAAUCGCAGUCCGCUAUUUCAGAAUUUCUGCUUGGGUUUAAGUCCAACCUAUCGAAUGGGUUUUCAAGCUCAUACGGAGACAGAUGAAGGAUGAGGACUAGCGAAUGCGCUUUCAAGAGACAGAUAAAGGAUGAGGACUACCUACCGAAUGGGGCUUUCAAGCUCAUACAGAGA
rnacentral:lncRNA from 1 species